CUCGGACGGCUGUGAUGCUCUGGAGGUCGGCGCCGAUCAGACAAGAAACGCUGCUCCGGGCGAACGUCUCCUUCAUCUGUGAAAGUGAAAACGACAAGAAGAGAAUCAAAGAGAGCUUCCUGUAAAACACUCCUGGCUCAGGUUUCAUUUCCUUCAUGCUCCUGCUGCAUCUCUUCUGGGUUAAUGAUUAAUUACUGUAAACAAGCUGAGAGUUGGACUGGACUGAAUCCAGGCAGGUUAGGACUUCUCUAACUGGAUCUGAUCUGUGCAUGCUGAGAGAUGCCCUCAGUUCUGGAUCCGUUUUAAAAGGGAUUAAUUGUUUGAGGAAAAACAAAAGCUGGAUAUAACUUCAUGCAGGACCUGCAGCGACUCAUCUGCUGCUGCUUCACUGAUUCCACCAACACAGUCUGGAGUAAUGAAGUCCUGAUGGCCUCGAAUCAAACCAUAAAUCUGAGCUCUGCAGACGAUCGACAGCAGAGAGCAGUCUGUCAGGUGAAGCUCACCUGUGGUCAUGUGACCCGGCAGGCAUGUUGCAGUCUGUCACGCUAUCAGCUGACGGUUUCUGUUUCCCUGCAGGUUUCGACUUGAACGACAGAAAGAAGUCAAACCCCAGAAACAGAAACAACUUGAUCUUUGGGCUACAGGUUCUGGUCCAGCCAGCAGAUGUAGUUGUUCAUGCUCCUCCACCCGACGCCGGACAUCAUGGGCAGGUAGGCGAACACCAUGCAGCCGUGGAAGCCAUCCUCGUAGUGGUCGCUGGUCACC